UACGGAGGGGGCUAGCGUUGUCCGAAGUUACUGGGCGUAAAGCGCGCGUAGGCGGGUUGGUAAGUCCGCUGUGAAAGCCCGGAGCUCAACUCCGGAGGGUCGGUGGAUACUGCCAGUCUUGAAGGUGCUAGGGGGAGAUGGAAUUACCGGUGUAGCGGUGAAAUGCGUAGAUAUCGGAAGGAACGCCGGUGGCGAAAGCGACGUGCUAGGCCCUUUCUGACGCUGAGGCGCGAAAGCCAGGGGAGCAAACGGG
rnacentral:rRNA from 1 species